ACUGCUCAGUAACACGUGGAUAACCUGCCCUUGGGUCCGGCAUAACUCCGGGAAACUGGGGAUAAUUCCGGAUAACGCAUAUAUGCUGGAAUGCUUUAUGCGUAAAAUGGAUUCGUCUGCCCAAGGAUGGGUCUGCGGCCUAUCAGGUAGUAGUGGGUGUAAUGUACCUACUAGCCUACGACGGGUACGGGUUGUGAGAGCAAGAGCCCGGAGAUGGAUUCUGAGACAUGAAUCCAGGCCCUACGGGGCGCAGCAGGCGCGAAAACUUUACAAUGCGGGAAACCGUGAUAAGGGGACACCGAGUGCCAGCAUCAUAUGCUGGCUGUCCAGGUGUGUAAAAUACACCUGUUAGCAAGGGCCGGGCAAGACCGGUGCCAGCCGCCGCGGUAACACCGGCGGCCCGAGUGGUGAUCGUGAUUAUUGGGUCUAAAGGGUCCGUAGCCGGUUUGGUCAGUCCUCCGGGAAAUCUGAUAGCUUAACUAUUAGGCUUUCGGAGGAUACUGCCAGACUUGGAACCGGGAGAGGUAAGGGGUACUACAGGGGUAGGAGUGAAAUCUUGUAAUCCCUGUGGGACCACCUGUGGCGAAGGCGUCUUACCAGAACGGGUUCGACGGUGAGGGACGAAAGCUGGGGGCACGAACCGGAUUAGAUACCCGGGUAGUCCCAGCCGUAAACGAUGCUCGCUAGGUGUCAGGCAUGGCGCGACCGUGUCUGGUGCCGCAGGGAAGCCGUGAAGCGAGCCACCUGGGGAAGUACGGCCGCAAGGCUGAAACUUAAAGGAAUUGGCGGGGGAGCACA
rnacentral:rRNA from 1 species